UAGUAAUUAUGCAAAAUGUUUUAAUACAUUUCUAUAACAAACAUUCCUGAUGGCAUAGGUAUCCACCUCCAAAGUUCCCAUUAUAUCUUUUAACCAAAUUCAUUUCCCCUUGCAUUAGAGACUGUCAAGCUUCAGACGAUCAUGUGACAAGGUUUCCAGCCAGUUCCAGGUGAAGACACCACCCCGGCCAUCAAGAAGCCACCCCAUCUCCACUAGGCAGAGUAGGGCGAGAGUUCCAUGAUCUCCAACAGAUGUCCCAUGAUUCCUCAUGGUGUGCAUUCUCGCUUGCUGCAACAAGGAAAUAAACCCAACUACAAGUGUGUUCCCGGUAGUCUUUAGCUGAAGAGCAUUGAUGCUGGAGAAUCCAGAAGAAUUCAAGAGCUGGAGACAGCUUACUUGUUAGGACACUAAAAACAGACCUAUCUUUCAAGGGUGAAUUUAUAUUAGCCACAGACAGAAACUGAUGGAUAAAUAACAUUACUAAUUUAUUAAUUUAUGAAAAAGAAAGUUUAGAAGAGUCAGAAAAGGCAAACGUACAGAGUGAGAAAACAGAUGAAUGGUUUCCUGAAGCCUUCUGCGAGUAAAGGAGCUUCAUCACAUUACUGGAGAAACAUCUUUUACUUAUAAAAGAACUGGCAGUGGUCUUAUCUCUCCAUCAAUCUUGUGCUUUGCCAUGGGCCAUAGUGAGAAAAGUGCUGGCCUCUACUGCCCCAUUAGGUUUCCCAUUAGCAUCCAUUAACCAACAAUUUUUAUUUCUUGGUGUGCAGCCAGCGUUCCUUAGAAAAUGAAAAAAACACAGACAUGAUGAUGUCACCAUCUACUAAAUAUCGGCUUCCCGUCCUCAUCAAGUCUGGCUUGUCUAGCAGGACUUUCAUCAAGUAUUAAGUAUAAGGAAGAUGCCAGGAGCUCCAAUGGCACUUGGCUUAUUUGAUUUUGCUUUACAAAAAUAAACACAGUUAUUCUGGGUGAAAUUUUUAAAUUGUUUUAUCCAAAAAUCUAGAAAGAAGAAUGUAAACCAAGUGCAUUUGGCCUCCUUAGCCGGUUUUUGCAGCAUCCAUGACAGAAUUCUGAGAUUCUGAGAAGCAGGAUGGACAUGAGAAGCAGACCCCUGCGGGAAGAUGGCAGUCAACACUCCUAGCCACGCUGGGGGGAUCCCAGCCUCCUGCAUCCAUCCCUGCCAUGACUACCAGCAGCAAGUGAUGCCCCAUGCAUCCCACGGGGCGAUGCUGUUUCUCAAACGUCCACAGUUGUCAUCAGACACUAUACUGCAAUUUGGCAGUUUGGUAGAGCAAUUGUCUGCCUUUGAGAAUGACACCACACAGCAUAAGGAUAUCACUAAAGGCCAUUAACAGGCAUUUGAAGCUUCUUAAAGGUUUGGCCUUGACUCCCAUUAUUAGUUCUGGAACCUAAAAUAAAAUCCAAUAACUUUA